GACGAACGCUGGCGGCGUGCUUAACACAUGCAAGUCGAACGAUGAUGCCUAGCUUGCUAGGUGGAUUAGUGGCGAACGGGUGAGUAACACGUGAGUAACCUGCCCUUCACUCUGGGAUAAGCCUUGGAAACGGGGUCUAAUACUGGAUAUUACUUGAGCCUGCAUGGGUUCGGGUGGAAAGCUUUAUGUGGUGGAGGAUGGACUCGCGGCCUAUCAGCUUGUUGGUGAGGUAGUGGCUCACCAAGGCGACGACGGGUAGCCGGCCUGAGAGGGUGACCGGCCACACUGGGACUGAGACACGGCCCAGACUCCUACGGGAGGCAGCAGUGGGGAAUAUUGCACAAUGGGCGAAAGCCUGAUGCAGCGACGCCGCGUGAGGGAUGAAGGCCUUCGGGUUGUAAACCUCUUUCAGCAGGGAAGAAGCGAGAGUGACGGUACCUGCAGAAGAAGCACCGGCUAACUACGUG
rnacentral:rRNA from 1 species